rnacentral:lncRNA from 1 species
GCACCUGCCCUCGGUCUCCCAGACACAUUCCCAGGACCAGGAGGGACUCUUUGAAACGCGUCUUGCAGAUGAUACCAAGCUGAGUGGUGCAGUGGAUACUAUGGAAGGAAGGGAUGUCAUCCAAAAGGUCCUGAAUAAGCUUGAGAAGUGGGCCUAUGUGAACCAAAUGAGGUUCAAAAAGGCCAAGUGCAAGUUGCUGCACCUGGGCUGAGGCAAUCCCAGACAUGAGUACAGACUAGGUGAGGAACUCAUUGAGAGCAGCUCUGCAGAGAAGGACGUGGGGUCCUGAUGAAUAAAAAGCUCGACAUGAGCUGGCAGUGUGUGUUUCCAGCCCAGAAAGCCAACUGCAUCCUGGGUUGCAUCAACGGAGGAAUGUGAGCAGCUCGAGGGAGGGGAUUGGCCCCCUCUGCUCUGCUCUCAUGAGGCCUCACCUGGAGUAUUGUGUCCAGGUCUGGAGCCCCCAGCACAAGCAGGAUGUGGAGCUCUUAGAACAGGUUCAGGGGAGGGCCGUGAAGAUGAUCAAGGGGUUGGAGCAUCUCUCCUACAAAGAAAGACUGUGAGAGCUGGGGAUGUUCAGCCUACAGAAGCGAAGGCUCCAGGGUGACUUCAUUGGGGUGUAACUAGGUGGGGGGCUGUAACUAGAUGGUCCUUGAGGUCUGUUCCAGCCCAAGAUAAUAUAUUAUUGUGUGAUUCUAAGAUUCUAUGAAAUCCAAGGCACCAUGACCUGGAGUGUGGAGUGGCCCUUGUCCUUGUCCUGCGUGGUCAGGAGCAGCCGCUUCCUGAAGGAGUGGGCAUCAUCCCUGCAUAUCGCAGCUCCCUUCUUCGAAAAAAACAGGCCCUACAAGGUGGCUCUGGUCCUCGUGGUAUCAGCUGCAAGCAUUCGCUUUGGUGUUUAUCUCUAUCGAAAGCAAGUGGAACUGGCUGCCAAACUCGAGGAACAAGCUGCAGUGCUGGAUGAAUACCGUACAAACGCUGAGCGCCAAUCUGCAAGACUGAAGGAACUAGCUGAAGAGCUGGUGAGGAAGGAUACAGAACGUGAGGAACAAGCAGAAGAUCUGGCACAAAAAGAUAAAAGGCUGGAACUGUCAGCAGAGCUGGAGGAAAAGAAUGCAAGGCUGACACACCAAUCUGCAAGACUUAAGGAACUAGCCAAAGAGCAGGGUGAGUACCCAUCCAUCCCCCAAAUGAAGGAAUUUGGGUUCUACCAGUGGACAUUUUGAGAAGGCAAGAUGUCCCUUUCCAUCAUGCUUUCUUUUUGCUUUUGUUUGGCAGAGAAAAAAUAUGCAAAGCUCCGUGAGUAUCCUGCACCAUAACAAAGCAGUUUGGGGUUCAGGCAUGGGGUGAGAAGCUCUCCCCUCUCAUCAGAUAUUGCUUUUGCUUCUUUUUCCAGGGGAACAAGCUGCAGAGCUGGGUGAGUGUCCCUGAGCUUGGGCCCAAGGGCAAUGUCAAGGCAAUGUGCAGGGGAGGGUGGGCAGUUGGGACAGAGCAGCCCAGGGCUGGCCCCUCACCCAGAUGGAGAAGUGAGGAGUGUGGGGCUGCCCUGGGCAUGGGACACAGCCGGGAUGGCUGAAAGGAACGGGGAUCAAGGUUAGGAUGGGGAGCGAGGUGUGGGGCUGCCCCGCUCUACUCUGAUGCUUCCAGGACAGGGACGUCCUCUAUAUGUCCCAAUUCAUUUCCAGUUGUCUUUUGGUGGCAUUGUACAGAAAGCUGCACAAGUUUCUGUGCUGGUUGUUCUGCUUGCACAAGCCAUGCUCCCAGAUGAACUUCACUCACUAUUAGUCUGGUCCCUCCUUUGGGAGAAAAGUUAUAUUUGGCCACUUCCUAGAAGAAUAAAUUUGGGGGCAUAGCCA